ACUGUGCUAAGGUAGCAUAAUCAUUCGUUAUUUAAUUGGUAACUUGUAUGAAAGACCUGACGAGAAAAUAACUAUCUAUUUUAUUUUAAAUAAAAUUUAUAUUUAAGUAAAAAAGCUUCAAUUUAUCAAAAAGACGAUAAGACCCUAGAACCUUUAUUUUAAAAUAAAUUUAUUGGGGAGAUACAAACCUGAACAAACUGUUAAUUAAACCUUUUGAGAGAUCAUUAACAACUUUUUUUUAAGAAAAAAGGUACUCUAGGGAUAACAGCAUAAUACUUCUUUAGAGCCCUUAUCGACAGAAGAGAUUUUGACCUCGAUGUUGAAUUGAAUUUUCUUUUUUAAGCAAAAUUUAAUUGAGAAGGUCUGUUCGACCUUUAAACUUUCACGUGAU
rnacentral:rRNA from 1 species